rnacentral:rRNA from 1 species
CCUACGGGAGGCAGCAGUGGGGAAUUUUGGACAAUGGGCGAAAGCCUGAUCCAGCAAUGCCGCGUGAGUGAAGAAGGCCUUCGGGUUGUAAAGCUCUUUUGUCAGGGAAGAAACGGUGAGAGCUAAUAUCUCUUGCUAAUGACGGUACCUGAAGAAUAAGCACCGGCUAACUACGUGCCAGCAGCCGCGGUAAUACGUAGGGUGCAAGCGUUAAUCGGAAUUACUGGGCGUAAAGCGUGCGCAGGCGGUUUUGUAAGUCUGAUGUGAAAUCCCCGGGCUCAACCUGGGAAUUGCAUUGGAGACUGCAAGGCUAGAAUCUGGCAGAGGGGGGUAGAAUUCCACGUGUAGCAGUGAAAUGCGUAGAUAUGUGGAGGAACACCGAUGGCGAAGGCAGCCCCCUGGGUCAAGAUUGACGCUCAUGCACGAAAGCGUGGGGAGCAAACAGGAUUAGAUACCCUGGUAGUCCACGCCCUAAACGAUGUCUACUAGUUGUCGGGUCUUAAUUGACUUGGUAACGCAGCUAACGCGUGAAGUAGACCGCCUGGGGGAGGUACGGUCGCGAGAAGUUAAAACGUUAAAAGGUAAAGUUAGUACGGCGUGAGACGUAGACCGACGGACGACGACGAGGGGAGGAGG